rnacentral:ncRNA from 1 species
GAAAAAGCAAUGAAAAAGACCAGUAGGUUGAUCUUCAGUGGAUAGAGAAAAGGAAUCACCGGCUGAAAGUUUCUUACACUCGAACCAACCGAACCUAUCUUUAGAGCUGUCGAAAGAUCCAUGACCGUUCUCUGCGUUAAAGAGGAAAGAGGGCACGCAAUAUGUGCGUGUCAACAAAGGUGGUAACGCGGAAAUAUACCCAUUUCGUCCUUUAC